rnacentral:tRNA from 1 species
GUGAGGAUCGAACUCACGAUCUUGCGAUUAACAGUCGCACGCCUUAACCAGCUUGGCCA